rnacentral:rRNA from 1 species
AUUGAACGCUGGCGGCAGGCCUAACACAUGCAAGUCGAACGAGUGGCGGACGGGUGAGUAAUGUCUGGGAAACUGCCUGAUGGAGGGGGAUAACUACUGGAAACGGUAGCUAAUACCGCAUACCAUCGGAUGUGCCCAGAUGGGAUUAGCUAGUAGGUGGGGUAAAGGCUCACCUAGGCGACGAUCCCUAGCUGGUCUGAGAGGAUGACCAGCCACCGUGAAACGGAGACACGGUCAAGACCCCUAGGGGAGGCAGCGGUGGGGAAUAUUGCACAAUGGGCGCAAGCCUGAUGCAGCAAUGCCGCGUGUAUGAAGAAGGCCUUCGGGUUGUAAAGUACUUUCAGCGGGGAGACGUUACCCGCAGAAGAAGCACCGGCUAACUCCGUGCCAGCAGCGCGGUAAUUC